AUUGAACGCUGGCGGAAUGCUUUACACAUGCAAGUCGAACGAUGAACCUUAGCUUGCUAAGGGGAUUAGUGGCGAACGGGUGAGUAAUGUAUCGGAACGUAUCCAAUAAUGGGGGAUAACUAGUCGAAAGAUUAGCUAAUACCGCAUACGUCCUACGGGAGAAAGCUAGGGACCUUCGGGCCUGGCGUUAAUGGAGCGGCCGAUAUCUGAUUAGCUAGUUGGUGGGGUAAAGGCUCACCAAGGCGACGAUCAGUAGCUGGUCUGAGAGGACGCCCAGCCACACUGGAACUGGAACACGGUCCAAACUCCUACGGGCGGCAGCAGUGGAGAAUUUUGGACAAGGGGCGAAAGCCUGAUCCAGCCAUUCCGCGUGAGUGAAGAAGGCCUUCGGGUUGUAAAGCUCUUUCGCAAGGGAAGAAAACUUAAGCUCUAACAUAGCUUGAGGUUGACGGUACCUUGAUAAGAAGCACCGGCUAACUACGUGCCAGCAGCCGCCGUAA
rnacentral:rRNA from 1 species